rnacentral:rRNA from 1 species
GUCUUGAAACACGGACCAAGGAGUCUAGCAUGUAUGCGAGUCAUUGAGAUAAUUAAACUGAAAGGCGCAACGAAAGUGAAGGCGCGCGCUAGCCGCGCGCUCAGGGAGGAUGGAGCGUCGAUCUAGGUCGAUCUCUCGCACUCCCGAGGCGUCUCGUUUCCAAUCCGUGAAUGCAGGCGCGCUCUGAGCAUAAAUGCUGGGACCCGAAAGAUGGUGAACUAUGCCUGGUCAGGUCGAAGUCAGGGGAAACCCUGAUGGAGGACCGUAGCGAUUCUGACGUGCAAAUCGAUCGUCGGAACUGGGUAUAGGGGCGAAAGACUAAUCGAACCA